AUGCCUUUCCCCAAGCCGUGGACUGAUCCAGCGCAUGUGGGCGAUUUCUUUAACUUUCUCCCCUUCGGUCUUUCAUCUUUGGGUUGCACAAUGGAAGGGAGAGAGCGGGGCGAAAUAUCUCGCACCCAGGUCGGGCGAGCAGCGGACUGUAAUUCUCUUGCAUGCAACAAGACCGAGGAAAAGAAAGAGAGGGGGGGUGGGGGGGGAAAGCUCCCAAUGCCCAAUCAAUGGCAAGACGAAGUGAUUUCCUUGCCUCUCGGAUUCCUCUCGGCAGCGUGGAAAACGAGCCCCUGGAAAGCAACUUCAACUCAUCCAGGCUCCCGUGCAGAACACUCCGGUUCCAACAAGUCAGCCGAUCCCCGGGUUCAGCCGGCUAGUGCAUCUUGCAGCUGGGGCGCCGUAACCUCACAAAUCCCUGCAUCUCUCUUUAUUCCCUUCUGCAGCAGCUCCAAGACUCCGGCGGUGUUUACUCCUGCGCUCGCGGCGCUUCCCAGGCCCCCGCGCGAUCGCUGCCGACCGCCGCGUUCGGUCGCCGAAUGUUACCCGGUUCUGAAUGUUACACUUACACAUUCCAUUCCCGACACUACAGCGCUGACCUCAUCCAUCCACGCAGCCCGCGCUGCCAUUGGCCGAGCGUCACGUCCGGGGUGGGCGGUGCUUCCGCUGCGCCCAUUCAUAACCCCCGGCCACCGGCAGAGGCGCCGGCGCGGCGCUGGGGGUGCGGGCGGCGAAGGGACCCCAGGGCGCCUCGGCCGGGCCCCAGCGGGCGGAGCGCGGGGCUGCCCCGAGAGAGUCCGCGGCCCUUCGGUGCCCCGGGAUCCAGACCCCGGCCUGGGCCGCACCACCUGCAGCCGCCGCGCCGGGAAACCAGCGCCUCCCAGAGGCGCCUGCGGGCGCGCGGAGGCUGGAGAACCGGGGACUGGCGGGCGCUUCCCCGGCCCGCUGCUCCGGCUGCCCCGGUCGUCCUCGAGAAUUCCUACUCCUCCGCUGCCUGCCGGGAGCGCCUCCCCGAGCGGGCGGCGGCGUGUGUUCGGGUUCCUGGAGAAGGAUGCUCGAAAAGUGGAGCAGUGGGGCGAGCCCUUGGGCUGCAGGAGGAAAAAAAAAAAAAAAAGGACUUCAUAGAAAGCGACCGCUGACCAGAAGGAUGUCUCUCUCUGCCCACCUUCCACCCUCUGAGGGCCCCAAAUUUUCCUUCCUACAAAGCAUUUAAACAGGUCCCUUAUCCCCUAAAUGUGUGCAGUGUCGCUUCAAUCGUGUCCGACUCUUUGCCACCCCCAUGGACUGUAACCUGCCAGGCUACUCUGUCCAUGGGAUUCUCCAGGCAAGAAUACUGGAGCAGGUUGCCAUGCCUUCCUCCAGGAGAUCUUCGCAACCCAGGAAUCGAACCCAUUAUCUCCAGCGUCUCCUGCAUUGCCCACCUCUUUUUCCUUACCCCCAAGGAACCACCCCAAUCCCCAAUAAUAAAAAGGAAAUACAACCGAAAGGAAUCGUUUUA
rnacentral:lncRNA from 1 species